rnacentral:sRNA from 1 species
UGUUUCGAACGUCCGUGUGCUGAGUCUUUUUCCGCUUAAAAUCCGCAAAAAUAAAAAUAAAAACAAACCAGUGCCUACUUAUUGAAAACAGACGGAUUGCAGUUGCAAUUAAAGUCCCAACCUGGCGUUAUGAUUUGAAAAUACAACGUACGACCUAAUCAAUUGCAGCAUUAAAGACGGAGAAGACAACGCAGCAGCAGCAGCAGAAAUCAAAUGAGAGAGCGCACUUAAUAAAGAAGA